rnacentral:rRNA from 1 species
AUUGAACGCUGGCGGCAUGCCUUACACAUGCAAGUCGAACGGCAGCACGGGAGCUUGCUCCUGGUGGCGAGUGGCGAACGGGUGAGUAAUACAUCGGAACGUACCCAGGAGUGGGGGAUAACGUAGCGAAAGUUACGCUAAUACCGCAUAUUCUGUGAGCAGGAAAGCGGGGGAUCGCAAGACCUCGCGCUCUUGGAGCGGCCGAUGUCGGAUUAGCUAGUUGGUGAGGUAAAAGCUCACCAAGGCGACGAUCCGUAGCAGGUCUGAGAGGAUGAUCUGCCACACUGGGACUGAGACACGGCCCAGACUCCUACGGGAGGCAGCAGUGGGGAAUUUUGGACAAUGGGGGCAACCCUGAUCCAGCCAUGCCGCGUGAGUGAAGAAGGCCUUCGGGUUGUAAAGCUCUUUCGGCGGGGAAGAAAUAGCAACGGCUAAUAUCCGUUGUUGAUGACGGUACCCGCAUAAGAAGCACCGGCUAACUACGUGCCAGCAGCCGCAGUAAAAC